rnacentral:rRNA from 1 species
UACGUAGGGGCCUAGCGUUGUCCGGAUUUAUUGGGCGUAAAGAGCUCGUAGGCGGUUUGGUGAGUCGGGUGUGAAAUCUCCACGCUCAACGUGGAGGAGCCACCCGAUACUGCCAUGACUGGAGUCCGGUAGGGGAGUGUGGAAUUCCCGGUGUAGCGGUGAAAUGCGCAGAUAUCAGGAGGAACACCGGUGGCGAAGGCGGGUCUCUGGGCCGAUACUGACGCUGAGACACGAAAGCGUGGGUAGCAAACAGG